GAUGAACGCUGGCGGCGUGCCUAACACAUGCAAGUCGAGCGAUUCUCUUCGGAGAAGAGCGGCGGACGGGUGUGUAACGCGUGGGUAACCUGCCCUGUACACACGGAUAACAUACCGAAAGGUAUGCUAAUACGAGAUAAUAUGCUUUUAUCGCAUGGUAGAAGUAUCAAAGCUUUUGCGGUACAGGAUGGACCCGCGUCUGGUUAGCUAGUUGGUAAGGUAACGGCUUACCAAGGCGACGAUCAGUAGCCGACCUGAGAGGGUGAUCGGCCACAUUGGAACUGAGACACGGUCCAAACUCCUACGGGAGGCAGCAGUGGGGAAUAUUGCACAAUGGGCGAAAGCCUGAUGCAGCAACGCCGCGUGAGCGAUGAAGGCCUUCGGGUCGUAAAGCUCUGUCCUCAAGGAAGAUAAUGACGGUACUUGAGGAGGAAGCCCCGGCUAACUACGUGCCAGCAGCCGCUGUAA
rnacentral:rRNA from 1 species